rnacentral:lncRNA from 1 species
CAAGUUAUCAAAUCAUACAGCUUCUUACCCUAAACAUAUUUUAAAACAAACGAGGUAGUCAUAUUUAACAUUUUAAUGAUCAAUUUCCUUAUUAUUGAUAAAGGUUUAACUAUCACAUGAAGGGAAUUGCAUUUGUAAUAGCCCCAAAAAAGGCUGUAAACUGUUUAACAAACUAUAAAAUGCCAUAAAGCCGGGGAUGUUGUUGUUGUUUAUACCGCACUACAUAAAAGCCGUUAGGAUUUUACGAGUUCUUUCCUCUACUGCUAUAAAACAGAGGUUUCGAUUGGACCCGUCCGCAUUACAGCGAGAUGUUGAGGUGUCAAUAUUGAAUUAAAACGAUUAUAGUUUUUCAUAUAUAACAUUGACUUUUUGAAUCUCUCUCCUAGCCCCCUCCCAGCCUCCUCCCCGGUGCCCAGCUCACACAGAGGAGUUGUUCAAGAUGUGUUUGGGGAUGAUUACAAACUAAAAGUAUUGUUUCGCUUAUCACAUCCAGAACAGAACCUUUAUGGUCAGUAACUGAUGGCUGCUUCCCUACCUCACCCCGUCCUCAAUAACUUUUUUUUUUUUUUUUUCAUGAUACUUAUGAAAACUAGGGAGAAAAGGGGGAUGGGAUAAGUGAAAUAAGAGAGAGGCUUUCUAUUUUAUUGACAUUUGUUAAGAACGAAGUAAACUUACCCCUAAGAUGCCAACGCUGCAAAUUUCCACAGUCUAAACACACAGGGGGUAGAUUUUGAAAUUCAUUUAUCGCAGUCAGCAAAUAUUACAGAGACGUAUUUCAGCUAAUAACGACACCAAACCCUCCCAACUUAAAUGCUGUCCCAGCGUGCCUGACACCCACGACGCCUCUCCAAGCCCCUCGCAUUGCCAUCUCUAUUUUCCAAUCCUUCAACCUCCAGUAGAAGUUAAAGACACUCUUCUAAACAUUUCUUUUUAUUUUCCCUUUUCCCUAGGUAGAUUUCUGCUGAAAUCCAUUGCAUCCAUCUGCGCAAUAUUGACACAGAAAGAGCUUCCUCAAAGAAAGGAUUUUUUAAAGAAGUGAAAUAUUGCCCUUUAGAGCGCCCA